GGAAAUGAAACUCGUCGGCGCAUCACAGGGGGGUAGGAUGAUGUGAAUGUGACUGGUUAUAUAAAAGUAUAGGGCACAGUUGGAAAGAGCCUGGUGGGACGAUGGUUGUCAUUUUUAAGACAAACGAGCUUAUCGUCUGCCUCUGGAAAUUACACUCCUGCAUGACCUUGUGAACUUGCCUGCCGCGUGACCUCGAAAAUUCCCUCUAACGGCUCCCCGAACACCCCUCCACAUCCCUGGGCUCAUUUGUGCAGGCUGUUACCCAGGCAGGAAGUGACAUCAACGGGUCCAAACUAAAAAUAUGUCGCAGGACGGGCUGUCUAGGAUGUCCAGGACCGGUGUUUGUAAAGGAGGAUGCUUGCACCGGCUCCCACAAAGUGAUGCUCAUUGAAGGAUGCAGGAGAGCGCCACACAGGCGAGACAGACAGACGCACUGGAGGCUGAAUACUGAUUGUCUUCCGAGUGGCUUCCUUGGUCUGGUUGGAUCUGACUGACACCUGCAGUCCUAGAUGGCAUCAAACCAGCCGUCCAAACCACUGGUCCUCUUGUUCCUCUGUCUCAUCUAUCUCUAUCCCUGCAGCUCCUGGCUAUCUUCACCCUCUAUGGCUCCUUCAUGAUGGCCCCCUAAUCUCUGCCAGUGUAGUUCCAUGUAUGCAUUGCAAGGCGGCUGUGUAAUCAAGCCUGUGAACUCAACAUCUGAAGGAAGGAUUCUGUUUCUGAUCACAUCCCUAUUGAAGUCCAUCCAUUCACUGAACAUGGAUGCGUUGACUCACUCAAGCUUGCCCUCCUUGAAUAUUCCAUAUCUGGGGGGCCAUGAAUAAUGCCAAGGAGUCUGAGAGAAAAAAAGACCAGCCUAUCACCACGCAGCUGCACUCCUGCGCAGUGAAGCCGUCAAGCCAUUAGCAAGUCCCAGCACUGAUAAUGAAGCCACAGAGGUGGUCUGAGUCAGGGUGGCGCAGGAGCUGGAGCACAGGAGGAAGGUAGAUUAGGAUAAUUACCUGGCCAUGGGGGCAGGAUGAGAAAGGUGCCUCACUUCCUGCAGGCCUCAGUCGGCGAAGGGGCACAGUAUAAUCAGGUGUCCUCCUUCUCCCUCGCACAUCUGCGUGGUCUGCAGGCCCUCUGGGGGCACCUGGCUCCCCUCCCUGCCAUUGCUGGCCUGAUCGAUUGGCGAGACCAUCCCAACACAGAGAGCAGAGGUCAGCUUCAAAGGCCUCCUGCCCACUUCCUGUCACCUGGUGUUCCAUUUCGGACGAAGGGUACAUUUCCUUUCCAUUCCCUCCAUACUCUGCUGCCCUUCUGCAAACAGGUUAAGGACGUGGAGUGUGUACGGCUCCUCCCUGUGAUCUACUUCAGCCUCCUCCCCAGUCGCCCACACGGGGAGAGAGGUACAUUAGCAGAUCUCAGUAUGUCCGCUACUCUUGUGAACAGGGAUGAGAAGGAGAUAGAGGGAGAGGAAAUAAAGGUCUGAUGAGUUUGGCAAAGAGAGGAUGGAGGCUGAGACAGAUGGCAUGAAGUCUGCAGCACUCUGGCGUGGCUCGCCUGGUGCUAAAAUCCUCCUCUCUCACAUUCCAACAAAUCCUACCAGGAGGCUGGGGAGUCUGUCACACCACUCCAAGGAUCCACACAGCUCUCUUCACCCCCCACCCCCCCACCCCCACCACCACCACCCCCACCACCCCCCAACAACCCCCACCCCCAGCCGGGCCUCUGACCACUCCGUAUCAGAUUCCUGCCAUUUUAUCCUCACAUAUGUAUACAUUCACACAUUAACAUGUAUAGAGGUGGGCCAUUUGGACCUUUACAGGCCUGGGAAGAUAAGAAGCACCAGGGGGUGAAGAUAUGAAGAGACGCCGUCUGACUGCUCUUAUGGAAAAGGAACCGAGGGGGCUUAAUUGAGAGAGGUGGCCUUUACUGUCACUCCAGUGUAAAAAAUCUUAUUCAGUAAACACUGGGCCAAAUCGUGAGGGAAAGACUGAACAAUCCAUUUAUAUCAGAGGCAGAAGACAUAAGAAGCUUUUUGAUUAGUUUCACCACAGCCCGCAUCAGCCCAUGCUCUUGAACAGAAACACUGUAGCCCAAUCUCAAUCCAAACAUACACUGCUCAGACCCAUAUUUCAAGGCUCCCUGUGGGCCUUACAAUCCAAAGUGGACAGUAAGUGUAACUAUGAUUACACACAUAGCACAAGAGCAGCAACUGGAUCAGGGGCUCCGCAUGACAUCUUCAUCUCCAAAUACCGUACCAUUGAUAUCCUUUGAAUUUCUGAAGCAUGCUUUCUUUCACCAUCUCAAAGUGGUUCAUCUAAUAAGAACAAACUAAUUUAUUUUACACUAUGCUCUCUCCCCACGCCUCUUCCUCACUGUCUUCCUGCCUGCCUUCUGUUUGUUCUAAUGAAUGACUUCUGAGAUGAGGUGCUGCUGUGAGGAGGUGACAGGGGGCUUCAGAAUCACAUUACUGUUAAUGAUAAUAAAAAGAACAAUCUGUGCUAAACCUCUUGGAUGUUUCCUUUUCUCGUCCCAUAUGGAAUGAAUAUUUUAUCUGCUAUUGUUUUGAAUAUCUUUACAUGUUUGAAUUGAAGCCUGUGCAAUUAAAAUGCACACUAAAUAUUGUUUUGUGUUUUUUUUUUUCACGCAAGCACUGCCUAUUGACAAAAAAGGCUGCUCUGAUAAAAGAUAUACAGUGGUGCACCAUCUGGGUUACAAAGCAUACCACCAAGCACACAACAUCAGGCACAUCUUAGCUACAUGGUGCUGCAUGAGGAAAUAUAUUCCCUACGGUAACAUUUUAAGUGCACAACGAAUGCCAAGAACAGUCAAAAUGCAAACACAACUUCUAACAUACGACAAGGGUUCUGCAGGAGUUGGGCUUUAUUGAUGUGACUUCAACUUUUUACAGACAAAAGGUUACAGGAGUUCUCAGCAUUUAGUCCAACUCCAUUCAACUUAAAUUGAAGCAAUUAAAUGGGAUGUGUUUCUAAAAAACAAAGCUGUCAAAGCACGCGUUUGAUGGAUGACAACUUCCCUUAUGUUUACAUGACAUGUAGGUUCAACACAAACCCUAACAAGCACAACAUACUUACAACUCGGUAUAAUGGAAAUGGAAAAACUCAUAUUGAAAAAGUUUUGAGCUGAAAACACGAACCACAAAACAAUAUACGUAGCGUCUGCGGAUGACUAUGAACGAGCUUCCACGCUGGCGAAGGCCGUCAUAUCAGCAGCUACUCGGCACCAAAGUAUUUGCCGGGGUUGUUUACAUGGCUCUGACAUUCACAAGCAGAUCAUCACUGACUUUCCCUCCUACCACCACAGAGAUAGAGUUGCUGGCCGUCCUUCCUACAUGGCAGGGCAGCGUGGUGUCCCCAGGCUCAUUGGCACUGCAGCUGUCACCCACAGGAUGGGAAAGUGGCAGGGUCGAUGGCUCCACGGCAUGGCUUCUGGCAGCAACCCUCCCAUCCUGGCCCAGUGAAAGGGCAGGGAUGGGGAGCCCUGUCUCUCAGUACAUUGAUCAAGGGCCAGCCCUCCAUUAGCCAUCGUCAGAGCUAAAGGUCAGCUAAGGCCAACGGAUGGGUCCUGUGUGCGCAUCCUAUGGUGUGACUCAUUCUCACACCCGGGGAGCGAGUCCUUGUCGCUUUGGUCUGUACUGCCCCCUACUCCUGGUGGCCACAUGAGGAUGUCCAUAGCUCUCAGAAUAGUUACCCCCUCCCUGAUGGGUUGAUGCAUCCUGCGGGCUAAACUCGCUCAAAUAUCCCUUUUCUUUUUUUUUUUGUUUGAUGUCAGCCACAUUAUGCAUUAUUGUUGCUUUUAGAGAUAUUACUAUCUCCUGCCAAAUUAAAAGAGCCUUCCUUCUAAUUUUCUCCAACAGAAAUUGCUUAAUAAAUGAGCAGGCCCUGAUUUGCACUGAUGAUCACAACAACACAAUUGCAUCAAAUUGCUCACCCAGAGAUGAUGCACCACAUCGUGCUCAUCACUCAGUGACAACUACUGCCUGGUGUGGUUUACAUUAAUGCAGCCAGGCUGUGAAAGGGGAUAAUUGUGGUGCUAAAUGCUGUAGAGGCUGACAGGAUCCAUUUCUUGACUUGUCAAGGGCAGCAGUGACAGAGAGGGCUGUGCUGGGGUCUUUACACACACUGGCAGAUGAGCUUAUUUGCACCAACACGCGUGCACACAUGUGGGCACAUGAAUACACACAUAGGCAGGCAAAAUCAGCCACACACCACAUAGAGAUGAUUGUCUCUUGCCUCUGUCAGGUUGUAUUUUUUUUUCUCCAGCCAUGGAGGCCUCAUCCUGGGAAAUUGAGCAAUUUCUGAUUGAAAACAAUGCCGGUAAUUAGAGCACUCACUAUUUGUAACCACUUGGCAUUGCAUUAGUAUGCAAAGCUGGCAGCCAGCUUAUCUUGGGGAAAACGUUUGUUUCCUUAAUUGCCCUCUUAGGACAAAUGUGAAGGGGGGGUGGGGGUGAGGGGGGCGGGGAGGGGAGAGAGUAAAAUGUUAACGUGCUGCAGUAAGAAUGGAGCCUGGUGUGUUGAGGGGAUGUGACUCCCUGAACACAGGGGUUAAACUCCACUAAUAGGCUGCAUACAACACACAUGGGCACAGACACACACACACACACACACACACACACACACACACAUGAGCACAGAGUAACAGUGGAGCACUCAUACACCCACAUAUGGGCACACACUUGCAUUGGCACAUGGGCACAUGGAGGCACACACAAAAAGACAACUAUGAUGAGCGCACACAUUCCAGGACACACACAAUUAGGCACAAUUAACUCCAUAGACAUACUGUAAAAUUAGACAUUAGUAAGAAGAACUAUUCACCACACUAAUGAAUUAAAUGGCCCUUUCUUUAAAUAAAGAGUCCAUCAGGAUGUAAAGCAGGGAAUGAGCUUUCUUCAGCUCACCUUUGUAGUUGUUUCUCAAACAUAUGGAGUUUGUAUUUCACCUGCUGGUAUCAAACUUGCGACAAAAUUAUUCAUCAUCGCUUGUCGUCUAUAGAAUGUAAAGCUUUACAUUUACACACAACUUCCACUUCAUGUAUGUAGUUAAGAGUGUUAAAUCUGUAAACAGCUCACUCUUACACUCUGUCUGACUUCUCUUGGUUCUUCUCUUAUUGUCACUUGCAGAUGGGAGGCAGAGACGAGUCUAUCACAUCCAAAUCUGCAGGAUUUUGCUGGUUGGUCUUCUUUUCCUUGUCACGGAGUGAUGGACACAAGAAGCUUAACUGGACCCUGUGACUCAUGAGGCAUUGUACUUUGAAGAAGUUGCAGAAUUACUAUGAUUUCCCGAGAUUGUUGGACAGGAGACUCUGUAUCUCGGAGGACCAGACACGGAGACGUGAGCAGCUGAGGAGUCAUGUGGAGCUGCGGUUGCUUCUGCAGGUGAGCGUCGCGUCGCAGGGGGGCGGAGGAUCUCCUCUCGCCGUCAUAAGCAUAAAACAAGAUUACUAGAUCUUUAUCACCGAGCACCCCACCACCACCACCACCACCACCACCUCACAGAACUGCAACUUCACAAUCUCGUCUUCAGAUGGGGAAUGUUGCAUAAUGAGCAGGAAAUGAAUUAUAAGUUGUUGUUUGUUUUUUGGAGGGGGGGAUAUUUUAAACUGAAAUGAAUAAGUCAUAAAUAAACUUCUCUGCAUCUGCGUGUUUUCAAGGGGGUUUUCAUUCCUUUAACAAAAGAGCAAGUGAGCUUGUUUAUGUAAAUGAACCAGGAGAUGCAUUUUUAAACCUGGGCUUGAUAUCUUUGUUUUGCAUGCUAUACCUGCAGAAGAAGAACAAGAAGAGGCUGCUAACAUUUACCAGAUGUUAAAAAUAACACCUUUGUCUUAUAAACAAAAAAAUAUAUGACUGAUCACAACUUAAAUCUAGAUAUGAGGUUUUUAAGUGUUGUCUCUCUUACAGGAGUGAACACUGGCAGAAGUUUGUACAUUCUGCUUGUCAUGGUGCUGCCUGAAUUUAACUUCCCUGUAUCUUUAAUUUGUAGUCACCAGGAAUGAAAGGCUGAGUCUCAGCACUGGCAGCUCCCAUGUCAGUCUUUGCAGGAGUGGGUGACAGAGAACAGCAGAGGCAGAUAGCAUGCUAAAAUCGCAUCACUAGAGACCCCACAUCAAAGUAGACCAAACCUCACAUUGAGUGAACUUUUAAGCCAGAAAGAGUGUGUGACAUCAGAGCACCUAAAAUGUGACUGUCAUGUUUUUCAAACUUGGCUGAACACAGGCUCAAAGACUUGAGAAGUAUUCAAUGGCAAGCUCUGUUCAAACACGCACACUAAGAUUAGCAGUCUUUGUCUUACAGGAACCUCAAAGACCAAUUAGACUGAGAGAUGGGUGUGACGAAUUUGUCAAAAAUAAGAUGAUAGAUAUCACUUUGGCAGUGAGCAAACAUGGCUGGGGAUUUCACUCAAGCACAGUCAUUGACAAGGCACUGUCAGGAAAUGUGUCAUCUUCAGCAGACCUGCCAGUUGACAAGGAUGCAGUUUGGGAUUGAGACUGAUCAAUUCCCAAACUGCCAGCAAGACAUGGCUCUGAUAGUGGCACUUGAUUUUGUGAAGUAAAAAAAAAAAAAAAAAAAGUACUAUUUGCUUGGAUAUAGUGUCAACUUUUUAUUUGCAUCACAAGUCUGUUCCGUCCCAAGAUACAGGAGAGACUGUGUGCAGCAAAUUUUAGACAAGAAAAAAACCCCCCAAAAAACCAGAGUGUCAUAUUUAUCUGGGGUUUCAAAACUUUAAGAGCAGAGCUUUCACCUUCCCACAUUUAUGUUUGGACACACUCACGGAAGUGCCAUACUGUGCACAUGUCUGAUUUUGUUGUUUAAUGUACACCAAUUCAAUACGUCUAAUACUUGAGCUUGUCUUCGGCCACUAUUUCAACAGUGAAAUCUGAUACUCAAAGCAUUUUCCUCUUCAAAGUAGUAUCCUGUUGUGCUUUGCGACCACAAUAGUGUCAAUCUCAUACUUUCAAAGCCUCAUCUCUGUGUCAGCUUUGAGUAGCUGUCUAUACAUGUCUCCGAAUAGAGUUGGGGCUUUGAUGGCUGGUCUGAAAACAGGUGGGAACAUUAUGACAAAAUCUAAAAUGGGAAAAACUAUUUCUAUUGAUGUGGCUGCAAAUGAAAUUUGACCUUUGAUUUGUGGAAUUGCUUUCAUAAGCAAAAAAAAAAAAAAAAGUUGUGUUUGAUUGUUA